AGUAUAAGUAGUCGGAUAAAAACGCCACGUCCUGUGGCAAAUCCGACAUUAGGCCGUCAUGGCCG
rnacentral:sRNA from 1 species